rnacentral:rRNA from 1 species
GACGAACGCUGGCGGCAUGCCUAAUACAUGCAAGUCGAGCGAACAGAUGAAGUGCUUGCACUUCUGACGUUAGCGGCGAACGGGUGAGUAACACGUAAGGAAUCUACCUAUAAGCGGGGGAUAACAUUCGGAAACGGGUGCUAAUACCGCAUAAUAUCUUCUUCCGCAUGGAAGAAGAUUGAAAGACGGCUCUGCUGUCUCUUAUAGAUGACCUUGCGGGGCAUUAGUUAGUUGGUGGGGUAACGGCCUACCAAGACGAUGAUGCAUAGCCGACCUGAGAGGGUGAUCGGCCACAUUGGGACUGAGACACGGCCCAAACUCCUACGGGAGGCAGCAGUAGGGAAUCUUCCGCAAUGGGCGAAAGCCUGACGGAGCAAUGCCGCGUGAGUGAAGAAGGCCUUCGGGUCGUAAAACUCUGUUAUAAGAGAAGAACAAAUUGUAGAGUAACUGCUACAGUCUUGACGGUAUCUUAUCAGAAAGCCACGGCUAACUACGUGCCAGCAGCCGCCGUAA